ensembl:snRNA U6 U6 spliceosomal RNA
GUGUUCGCUUCGGCAACACAUAUACUAAAAUUGGAACGAUAGAGAAGAUUAGCAUGGCCCCUGCACAAGGACGACACGCAAAUUUGUGAAGCGUUCCAUAUUUUU